GACGAACGCUGGCGGCGUGCUUAACACAUGCAAGUCGAACGGAAAGGCCCUGCUUUUGUGGGGUGCUCGAGUGGCGAACGGGUGAGUAACACGUGAGUAACCUGCCCUUGACUUUGGGAUAACUUCAGGAAACUGGGGCUAAUACCGGAUAGGAGCUCCUGCUGCAUGGUGGGGGUUGGAAAGUUUCGGCGGUUGGGGAUGGACUCGCGGCUUAUCAGCUUGUUGGUGGGGUAGUGGCUUACCAAGGCUUUGACGGGUAGCCGGCCUGAGAGGGUGACCGGCCACAUUGGGACUGAGAUACGGCACAGACUCCUAAGGGAGGCAGAAGUGGGGAAUAUUGCACGAUGGGCGGAAGCCUGAUGCAGCAAGGCCGCGGGCGGGAUGACGGCCUUCGGGUUGUAAACCGAUUUCGCCUGUGACGAGGCGUGAGUGACGGUAAUGGGUAAAGAAGCACCGGCUAACUACGUG
rnacentral:rRNA from 1 species